rnacentral:lncRNA from 1 species
GCGCCAAAAAGAAAUUAGGGUUUAGGUUUUUCUAAAAAUUUUUAAGUGUUUUGGGCCUUUAGACUUUGGGUUAGGUUUAGGUUAAUUUUGGUUUGUAAAUUGGGCUUUUUGGGUUUAAUGUAAUUUGGGCUUGUAACUGUUGUAAAUGGACUUUUGAUAGUUGGACUUUUUUUUUUGGUUUUAUUUAUUAUUUUUAUUUGGUCUUGGGCCCGGGUAGAAUUAGCUUGUUACACAGUCAACAAAGCAUGGAGAGCUCAAAAUAUGCUUCAAUUGGUCCAUACUGAUGUUUGUGG